UCCUAAUUCUGUUACAUAAUUUCAGUUGAAGUUCUAUAUAUAAUUUCUAAUUUCAAUUUAGAUUAGUUUUUUGAUAUAUUUGAAAAAAUGGAAUACAAUCAUAUUAUUAAACUAACUUUUAUGUAAUUAAAAAUGAAAUUACCAAAGAAAAAAAAAGAUUUAACUAUCUAAAUUUUAUUUUGAAAUCCUACAAACUUAAAAUUUGAAAAUCCGCACCACUCCCAUCUAUUUCAAAAUUUGAAGACUGUACCUCUCCCAUUUCAAAUACUCCAUCUACUAACUUAUUUUGAAGACUCUACCGGUCCAUCUCUCCGGCGAAACUCGGCACCACCACCGUCGCUGAUUCUCCCCCUCUCUCAAUCCCACUCUCUUUCCCUCUCUAUUCUUCACAAUUCCCAAAUUAGGAUGCAUCUCUCUUUCUCCCAAAAAUCUGACUCUCUCAUCUCCGGCGAAACUCGUCUCCAGCAUAUCACCACCGCAACUUCUCUCUCUCACUCACCCUGCUCUGGCCUCCAUCUCCUGUCAGGUUGUGCGAAAUUUCUCAUUAAAAUUUCCUAGAAACCCUACAUGAAAAAGCGGUGCCUCUAUCUCCCUCCUCCAACGGCACUGCACUCUCCCUCUCCAUCUCCAUCUCCUUCUUUCUCUCUCAAUUGGCGGAAUCGACUCGUGUUUUCCCCACACCAAGAGUCAUAGCCCUCGCAGAUUUCAAGCCCCCGGCCUGCUCGCCCGGAGAAGAAAGCCGAGGACGUGGCUGUCUCGGAGUUUGGUCCCCACCGCGGCUGCUACUCGCCAUCAUCAGACGCCGUCGUCUCCUGCAGCAGGUCGCUGGUCUGGAUUCGUGGGUGGCGUCGGGUGGCCCCUGACACGCGGCCUUGCCGCCGCCGCCAGCUGCUCGAACCCGUCGCCUUCCGCCCUUCCGUCGUGGGGGCGAACUUGUAGUGUGUGAUCAUGCGUGCAAAUUAAGCUAGAAAAAGUGUUUAUUUAAUUGUCUAGACGGGAUACAUGUCACCAUCGACCUCCUCAUGGACUCGCCGUCUGAUUUCGUUGCUGCUGAUUCUCGCCGAGCGGUGAGAGGCGCUCCAGGAUCCACUGAGCAGUCGCUUCGGUCGGUGUCAUACUCCAGCCAUCUCGGCUGCAUUGUCAUUGUCAAUUUCGUCGGACUGCCGUGGACUUCUUGGCUUAGGGAAGCUUUAGCAACAAUCUUUCUACUCCCUCUGGAGAGUUUGUAUCUGGCUGGUGCUUGUCUAACGUUCUAGUUUGUGAAGAGGAUGCACCAUUAGAUGUACCUCGUUCAUCUUAUGCUCAUCAGAGAACGUCUUUGUUGAUUAAAGUGAUUGCAAACCUUGAUUGCUUUGUUCCUGAUGUAUACCAGGAUGAGAAGGAUUUGUUUCUCAACAUGUUCAUUUGGUUCAUAGAGAAGGACUAUUAGAAACUGUCAGUUGACAAAGUGUCCACAGUUCACUGUUAAGUCUUUAGUUCCAGGAUUUUUGAAUGAAGAUGAUGUACAACUGCUGAAGUAAUUUGAAUAUAUGCCUUCCUUCCAUGCUGAAAUCGGGUUAUUUGUAAGUCAGUUUGAGUUCCGCAUCGUUCGUGCUGCAUCGAAAGAUCAUUUAGUCCAUGAGCUUGGGAAGAGGUGGACUGCAGGAGCAACUAGCUUCCUAUAUUGGACUCCCGGCCCUGAUGAAAAAAAGAGUAGGUUCUUGCAUUGCUGAAAAAAUGUUUGUUAUAGAUUCAAGAGAGUUAAAUGCUCCCUCCGAGGAAAGUUACCCGAAGGGCCAACUGGAACGUAAUACAAAGCGCUUGGCAGAUGUCGUCUCAGAUGCUUCAAAUUUUCAGUCAUUCAUUAUGAUAAAUUUGGAAGCUUUAGCAACAAUCUUUCCACUCCCUCUGGAGAGUUUGUAUCUGGCUGGUGCUCGUCUAACAUUCUAGUUUGUGAAGAGGAUGCACCAUUAAAAUGAGAAGGAUCUGUUUCUCAACAUGUUCAUUCGGGUCAUAGAGAAGGACUAUUAGAAACUGUCAGAUGGCAAAGUGUCCACAGUUAGCAAUAACUUGUGUUCACGGUUAUGUCAUGCAGAGUCUUUAGUUCCAGGAUUUUUGAAUGAAGAUGAUGUACAACUGCUGAGGGAAUACACUUCUUAAAAAGGAAUUUUAGUGCCAGAAAAGGAAGGUAGGAAGGUAAGACUGAUCUUGUAAAGAUGGCAGGAAAGAUGGUAGUAUAUAUUUAAUGAAAACAAUGUAAUCGAUCACUCAAAAUUAAAUGUUGGAAUGUUUCGAAGAUGAUCUAAAUUGACAGAGUAUUAUGUUUUUUUAUUCUGAUAAAGAUAUAAUGGUAGAGGUUUGUUUUCAGCAUUUUGGUAUGCGAGAAGGAACCAGUUUCCAGCAGGUGGGAAAUCCGAGCUUUUAUUGUAGUCGUCAAAUCCUGGGUCUUGUGAAUGUGCUUAUUUGUCUAAGUUGCUUGAGGGCGAGCAAGACUUCUGUUUGGGGGGUAUUUGAUGUGUGUGGUUAAUUUAACUUGUUAUUAUACAAUGGAUGGAAUGGAGGGUAGCAUACUACUACUCCAGUUCAAUUUUGACCACCUCACUAUUAAUUCCAGUGAGUUGAAGGGUAUAAAGCUGCAACUAAUAUUUGUAUUUUUAUAAACCUAACUUUAGUUCGAUAUUUAGUGUGUCAUUUCAUACUAAAGCCAUCAAUGAAGAACUACUGCAAAAUCUUUCUGAUGCUCUACACUUGUCGGUACCUGAUAAAAUUAGGGUUGGACUUCUUUGUCUAAUUUUGAAGAACACGAUAUCGUCACGAUACCAGGAUGUGUGGUUAGUUAUUCUCUUCUUUGUACAUACAUUUAGAUAUAAUUUUUUGUUUAGUUGUAGGAAGUGGAAUAUAUACAACAGUCUAUUAUUUUUGUAUCCUUGGAAUUCUUCUACCUGUUGCACUAAACCUAUAACCCUUUUCUUGGCUGUAUGCAGGAAAGAAUUUCUGUCUGAUUUAGAUUACUGAGCUGUCUGCCAAUUCUGCUGCGUUUGAGGCUACUGAUAUAAUUUAGCAUAUUCUCGUGUCACUCUUAGUUGAUUUGAAGGCAUCUCUAAGCAUUUAGAUUCAUUCUACUUGAAGGCCUCUCUAAGCAUUUAGUUUCAUUUUUUCAAAAUGUUAUCUCUUGUGCAACUAAGGUGUUUUCUGUGAUAGUUCCUAGUGCAUAAAUAGAGUAGAAUGUACUUGGUCGAUCUGAAGGUCGGGGUGGUAGGUGGAGUUUUUAACUUAUAAGAAACGGGGGGAAGGUGUGGAAAACAAAAGGCAAAAGUCUAUUUAUUGGUUUUUUACCUUGCUUUGCGUGGUCUUCUGCUUCCUGGUUGUUGCGCCUAUAUUUUUAUAUUUAUUUUAUUCAUUAUUUGCUGCCUUUUGCAGCUAAUUAUUGAACUGUUACAUAUAUUAAAUUUUUGUUUGUUAUACUGUGACUGACGUUUUUCAUCUUUUUCUAAUCCACCUUUUGCUACCUUGCAGCAUAAUUAAUUAAUACAUACAUAGCAUCCUACUUUUCUUUGUCUAUGCCGUGUACAAAUAUGUGCAAUAUUAGUGUUUCGUUGAUAUGUAUACCCAUCGAUUGUCAAAUCUUGGCUUCUUAAUAUAUCUGUUAACUAGACACAUUUCCUUUUUUACUUUGGCAUUCAGUUUGCUGUACUUGCAUCUAAAAAGAAAUCAUGGGCCUUGGAAGCUGGUUGAGCACCCCAUUAGUGUCACGUAAAGAUACUUUCUAUGAGGAUCAGUCAUUAAACAUCAAUGUGUGACUCACCGUACAUAGGGUAUUGCUUUACGUGCUAUUUUAGAUGCUUUGAGGAAGCCUGCAGAUUCAGAAGUUUGUUCCUUCCUAGUUUAUCAGAAUGUUAUUAUUGUGAAUUUCAGUUUUACCUUGGAUUUAUAACAUUCUGAUGUUUUCCUUUGAGAGUAUGGCAUUGGAGCAGUUUGUGGACCAUCUCAUUGAGUGGCCACAGUAUAGAGAGGGCACUCAACAGUAUUUCAGCGGCUUAUACCGAACCUGAUGGUGGCCAUAGUGCCAAUACUGCUCACCGACACGGUCAUAUUCAAUCUUAGCUCCACAUAUAGAGCAAUUCCCUCUUCGAUCCCACUGCAACAGAGACCACCAAGUUCUCUGAGUUCACUCCUAAUUACAUGAAGCCAUCACAACACACCUACCCUUCCUAAGGCA